GGCGCUAGUCAAUCAGUUUUACCAGCUAUUUAUCUGAUUUGUAAAAAUCGUGACCGCUACAUUACGCUUAGCCACAAACGUCAAAAAGACAAACUUUACCAAACAGAGACUGAAGAUGGAGGACUGUUACGUAAAGCUGCGGAAGCAAAAUUCAGAUGAGAGUGUCUUAAUACACAUAAGAGACAAGGACUGUGUAGCUAUUGAGGUGCACUAUCAUCGUUCUCGCUACAAGCAGUACACUCGCUUUUUAACCAGAAAAGUUGAUGCUAAAAUAACCGAUGAGGACCACCAAUAAGUCGUACAAAAUUUUCUCUGAGAUAAUCAUCCAGCAACGAAUUAUCAAGAACCGUGAGAUUUUAAGGAUGACCAAGUUACUUCAGUUGUUUUCAAAAAUUGUUAAAAAGCAUGAAGGGC